GACGUAGGGCGCGAGCGUUGUCCGGAUUUAUUGGGCGUAAAGAGCUCGUAGGCGGCUUGUCGCGUCGACUGUGAAAUCCCGCGGCUCAACUGCGGGUCUGCAGUCGAUACGGGCAGGCUAGAGUUCGGUAGGGGAGACUGGAAUUCCUGGUGUAGCGGUGAAAUGUGCAGAUAUCAGGAGGAACACCGGUGGCGAAGGCGGGUCUCUGGGCCGAUACUGACGCUGAGGAGCGAAAGCGUGGGGAGCGAACAGG
rnacentral:rRNA from 1 species